CAGUUUCAUUAGGAAAUGGAGAAGCCACUCUGGACGCUCCUUUGUUGUAGUAGGUCAGCGAUGGCCCCGGCUGUGGAGCGGCCAAUGAAAAUGGGAAUGUAGCUGAGGACAGUGAAACUAUUCCAGACCAGACACCUGCUGAGGGAAGCGAUGCCAAGCCUGGAGAUGAGCCUGCUGAAGAGCCUGCCGUGACAGCCGCGUCUGCAGACACCACAGCUGCAACUCCACCAGCAGCAGAAGAGUCUCAGGAUGCAGCCAGCAGCCCGCCCGCUGAGACUUCAGCAGCAGCAGGAGACAGCACCGCUGAGACAGCAGCAAGCUCCUCAGAGGCUGAAGCUCCUGCCCCAGAGCCAGAAAAAGGGGAUGCCGGAGCGACUGACUCAGAGCCCAAAACAGACGAGACACCUGCUCCCAGUGAGUGACGUGCGACAUGACCGACUGCACAGAGGAGUUUAUCUGCACGCAUGAGUGAAAGUAUGUCCGUGUGUGUGUGUGUGUGUGUGUAUGAGAAAGAAAGACAUUGUCUUGUUGCCAAGAUCCAGACCCCGUGGAAACCACUUUGAGUCCGGGUGCUCAGUCACCACUGUGCCUUCUUCCUCCUCCUGGAUGUCUGCAGUCUCUCCUCUUUGACUGUGAAUAGAGUUCAACAGCACUUAGGUUUCUUUAUCUGUAACAGGUAGUAAACAGCUGAGAGAAGCUUAGAUUACUAUUUAUUAUCUGUAAUGAAAUAGCACCAUAAACUGUAUGUCCUUAACUUAUUCUUGAAACCUAAGAGUUUGUUUCUGUGAAAACGAAAGCCAAAGUAUAUUAGAUAUUAGAAGAUAUUAUAUUUCUUUUUUGGGGGGUGAGGGGUAGCUAGCUUUGAUUUUAUUAUCAUAUUUAAAGUAGGCGUAAAUCUAAGAGGGUUUUUUCCUGAUGUGUCAUGAUUUUUAGUAUUCCCAAAAAUCUGUAAUUAGCAAUAAGCUGUUGAAAAAUUAAAAAGAUCUUAAAAUAAAACCGAGUACACAUAUUCUCUGUGUUUUAAUUCGAUGCAGGAUGAAAGCAAACAUGUCACACUGUGAUACAGCAUUUUUUUUUUUUUUUUAAUGAGUGAAAUUAUCAAACCAGAAGCCAAGAGGAGGUUCAGAUGAUGUUGGGGCUUUUCCAUCUGAGUGUCCAGUCCCACUGGAUCCCUACUCUUUGUUUAAUGAGCAGCCUCUGAGGUGUUAACAACUGAAUGUGUGGACAUCUAUGAAUGUCCACACAGUCUCCAACAUUUCUGUGGACUUUGUUUACUUAUAAUUUUGGGUGUAAUGAAAAAAACGCGUCAAAUUUUUCCAGCAAAAUUCCCUCCGCAACGGCGAAUUCGUUGUACUGUGUUGUAUUUCACACAUACUAACCCAUCCCUUCUCUGUUAUGGUCAGUUCAGCUUCCCAUUUCUUUU
ensembl:lncRNA